UACGAAGGGGGCUAGCGUUGUUCGGAAUCACUGGGCGUAAAGGGUGCGUAGGCGGGUUUUUAAGUCAGGGGUGAAAUCCUGGAGCUCAACUCCAGAACUGCCUUUGAUACUGAAGAUCUUGAGUCCGGGAGAGGUGAGUGGAACUGCGAGUGUAGAGGUGAAAUUCGUAGAUAUUCGCAAGAACACCAGUGGCGAAGGGCGGCUCACUGGCCCGAUACUGACGCUGAGGCACGAAAGCGUGGGGA
rnacentral:rRNA from 1 species